rnacentral:rRNA from 1 species
GGCGUAGACGGUGUGGCAAGUCUGAUGUGAAAGGCAUGGGCUCAACCUGUGGACUGCAUUGGAAACUGUCAUACUUGAGUGCCGGAGGGGUAAGCGGAAUUCCUAGUGUAGCGGUGAAAUGCGUAGAUAUUAGGAGGAACACCAGUGGCGAAGGCGGCUUACUGGACGGUAACUGACGUUGAGGCUCGAAAGCGUGGGGAGCAAACA